CUUCGUGUUGCUGGGAAACACGUGAGCAAAAUCUAUCAUUCGGACUUCUACGUUUGCACUUUCCUUGAUCUCUGCUGGCAUGUGACAGAAAACUUUUUCCAGUUGCGGUAUAACGUUUCCAUUCAGAUGCUCCUGUGUGAUGCAAGUGCUGCUUUUCCACAUGUUGUCUUGCUCCAAGCUUCCAACUUUUAGUGAGAGCUGGCUGUGGUGCCUCUUUGAGUAUGCCUUUUUGUGAAGUGCGUAAAAUUUGGACAAGCCUUUACUGACAGAGGCCUCAAUCUUCCCAUUCUCUGUAGAACUUAUGACAUGAAUGUUGUUGUUAUACUCCAGUAUGUCUCCACCUGAUAACAGUCCUUUGGGCACUCCUCUCUUCUCUGCCAAGGUGACGUCGCUCAGCCGCACGGUUGGGCCCUGACUUGAGCCCUCGUAAACAAACAGCAAAGAGCUUGCAUAAAAGUUGAGCUGCUUUUGGCCCUCAAACCACUUCAAAAUCUUUUCAACCUUCUGGAUGCUGGCAGCGAUGGCAUCUUUUCUCAAGCAGUACCCGUUGUGGAAGAACUUGGAGAUGCCAUCCUUCACUGUUUCCUUGGUCAAGCUCCUCCCAUAGUGCUGGUUUUGCAUCUCGUAGCUGUCGGAAGAGACGUGGUAAACCCUCAUGCCAAGUACCAGGAAGCCAAUC
rnacentral:lncRNA from 1 species